rnacentral:miRNA from 1 species
UACCGGAGUCUUUUCUGUG